UACGUAGGGGGCAAGCGUUGUCCGGAAUUAUUGGGCAUAAAGGGCUCGUAGGCGGUUUGUCGCGUCGGGAGUGAAAUCCACUGGCUUAACUGGUGGCUUGCUUUCGAUACGGGCAGACUGGAGGUAUGCAGGGGAGAACGGAAUUCCUGGUGUAGCGGUGAAAUGCGCAGAUAUCAGGAGGAACACCGGUGGCGAAGGCGGUUCUCUGGGCAUGUCCUGACGCUGAGGAGCGAAAGUGUGGGGAGCGAACAGG
rnacentral:rRNA from 1 species